rnacentral:lncRNA from 1 species
UAAUAGGCCUCAGUAUAGUAUAAACAUAACUUUUAUAUGUACUGGGAAACCAAAGAAUUCCCAACUUACUUUAUUGCAAUAUUUGCUUUAUUGUAGUCUGGAACGGAACUAGCAAUAUCUCCAUGGAAUACCUGUAAUGAGCAGAUUUAACCUAAGAUGAGAAAAUAUUUCCACUGAAGUUUGAAAUUUAAGUACGUGUUAGCCAGGUGGAGAAGCAGAACAGAAGUUGCCCAAGAUCUUACAGAUGUGUGCUCAUCUUAUUACGGAAGUCUUU